rnacentral:rRNA from 1 species
UACGGAGGGGGCAAGCGUUAUUCGGAAUUAUUGGGCGUAAAGGGCGCGUAGGCGGCUAGAUGUGUCAAAGGUGAAAUCCCCGGGCUCAACCUGGGAACUGCAUUUGUGACUGCAUGGCUAGAGUGCGGCAGAGGGGGAUGGAAUUCCGCGUGUAGCAGUGAAAUGCGUAGAUAUGCGGAGGAACACCGAUGGCGAAGGCAAUCCCCUGGGCCUGCACUGACGCUCAUGCACGAAAGCGUGGGGAGCAAACAGG